rnacentral:rRNA from 1 species
UACGGAGGGUGCAAGCGUUGCUCGGAAUUACUGGGCGUAAAGCGAACGCAGGCGGUUUAUUAAGUCGGGCGUGAAAGCCCCGGGCUCAACCUGGGAAUUGCACCCGAUACUGGUAAACUUGAGUCUGAGAGAGGGAAGCGGAAUUCCUGGUGUAGAGGUGAAAUUCGUUGAUAUCAGGAGGAACACCGGCGGCGAAGGCGGCAUCCUGGACCAACACUGACACUGAGGAGCGAAAGCCAGGGGAGCAAACGGG